rnacentral:rRNA from 1 species
CUACGGGUGGCAGCAGUGGGGAAUAUUGCACAAUGGGCGCAAGCCUGAUGCCGCCAUGCCGCGUGUGUGAAGAAGGCCUUCGGGUUGUAAAGCACUUUCAGCGGGGAGGAAGGCGGUGAGGUUAAUAACCUCAUCGAUUGACGUUACCCGCAGAAGAAGCACCGGCUAACUCCGUGCCAGCAGCCGCGGUAAUACGGAGGGUGCAAGCGUUAAUCGGAAUUACUGGGCGUAAAGCGCACGCAGGCGGUCUGUCAAGUCGGAUGUGAAAUCCCCGGGCUCAACCUGGGAACUGCAUUCGAAACUGGCAGGCUAGAGUCUUGUAGAGGGGGGUAGAAUUCCAGGUGUAGCGGUGAAAUGCGUAGAGAUCUGGAGGAAUACCGGUGGCGAAGGCGGCCCCCUGGACAAAGACUGACGCUCAGGUGCGAAAGCGUGGGGAGCAAACAGGAUUAGAUACCCCUGUAGUC